UACGUAGGGGGCAAGCGUUGUCCGGAAUUAUUGGGCGUAAAGAGCGUGUAGGCGGUCCGGUAAGUCGGCUGUGAAAGUCCAGGGCUCAACCCUGGGAUGCCGGUCGAUACUGCCGGACUAGAGUUCGGAAGAGGCGAGUGGAAUUCCCGGUGUAGUGGUGAAAUGCGCAGAUAUCGGGAGGAACACCUAUGGCGAAGGCAGCUCGCUGGGACGUUACUGACGCUGAGACGCGAAAGCGUGGGGAGCAAACAGG
rnacentral:rRNA from 1 species